ACCAUCGUGAUAUAGUGGUUCGAGUGUUGGACUACGACUCCAGAGAUCCAGGUUCGACUCCCUGCUUGGCCAUGGAA